CUCAAAGUGAAGUGUCGUCUCAUUAUUGGGGGAAGGAUUUAUUGUAUGCUGUUCCAGUUUGACUGCUAGGAGAGUAAACCUAUUCGUAUGGUUCCUAUUCAACUGUCUACAGCAUUCAUAUGCUUGGGAGAAUUUAUUUGUUUCUCCGGUUCGGUGAUUGUGGUGUCUGCCAGAGUGCUUGGAGCCCUCAGGAAGCGCUACGAGCAUCCUUCAACCGAGGUACCCAGUCGGG